UAGCAGAUACAGAUACAUUUGCACGCCCAGAUGGAUUGGAUGGCGAUGGCCUGCUGCAUAGACAAGCUGUCUGCUAGUAUGCUAUGCAUUUCGUAGCCAACCAGUUGUUGCUGUUGACUUUGCCAUCGUUUAUCUUAUCUGAGGAGAUGUCGUCGCCGGAUGAUGAUAGUAGAGACAACGCCUUUGCAUUUGUCUUUACCUCAAUGCGCCGCAUGCCACCCCCAACACACCUCCAGUGCGCCCAGUAUCCAUUAUCCAUGGCAUAUGUAUGAAUUGCUGGUGUGGCUGUUGGGCACAUGUCUUGGCAUUUCCAUUUCCAUUUGCAUUUUCAACAAUUGUCAAUUGUGGAGGACGCACUGCAGCAUUGCGCCGGCAAUGGCAAGGGACAUUUGCAUACCUCACUUUGAUGCCAUCAAAGCCGCCCCAACAUCAACCCCAACCACCAGGAAGAGCAACAUCCAGAUCCACAUCCACAUCACAAACUACAAUUGCAGCCAGCCAAGUUGGCAAAGUUUAUGCCAUGCAUUUCGUCUGGCCUUUGUUUGUUGUUGUUGUUGCUGUUGUUGGUUGUAUACAAUUUGCAUAAAACUCAAAACGAAUUUAUUUUGAAAGGCAACUUUAUUUCUCUGCCGGCGAGCUGGUCAUCCGCUUUAAGUUCACACCCGCACCCGAGACCUCCAUCUCCCCGACAGUCAUUACACAUUUUGCGACCAGGACCUGCCUGUCCUUUGAGCACCAGCUGCAGCUUACAUAUUCAUGGCCAAAGCAAACCCAAACCUAAACCCAACUACCUGGAUUCUGGUUGGAUUCUAGGGCCAGAGCUCAUCACUUCUCUAUUCCUCGGGGCAAAGGUCCUCAUCCCCAGCCAACUGAAGUGGGUGGAAAUGACCUCGUCUGUCGCCCGGCAAAUGAACUUUAAUUAAAUGCUAAUAGUUAAAGUUGCUUUCGGCGCAGUUUUUUGUCCGAGUUUUUCGGCUAAAUAUGCAUGCUGGAUAAACAGGAUGUGCACGUGGUUGUGGAGUCUGCACCAGCCAGCCGGAAGUGGAAGUGCCAGAGGUGCGAUCUCCAGCAGAGGAAACCACUUGACAAAGAAGGAACUCUAAUUUCAGCUAGAGGUGCAGUCUAAUCCGUAGAUUGUUUAUAUCUCAUAGGUGUUUACUUAAUUUUGAGCAUGGAUCUGUUUUGGGCUGCCACU
ensembl:ncRNA lncRNA:CR34044 long non-coding RNA:CR34044